AUUCGCGCGUUGUAUCGGGCCUUGGCCUGUUGUAAAAAAAGUUACGCUCGGGCGAUCCGGUCUCUUCCUCUUCUCGCGACCGACGACCCCUGUUCCUCCUCCUCCUCUCCUAUGCUCAAUCUCAAUCCCGCACAUCUUCUUUCGGCGUGGCCAACCUCCCCAGUCACCACACAUUCGCCCCCGCUCCAGCUGCAGGUCUUCCUCCAGACGACGACGCCGGUGCCAACGGGACCCACAUCCCAACUAGAAGGUAGAUGCCUAGACCCAGAUCCCCUCCCUUUGCAGUCCGGCGGCGGGGCUGGAUCCGGUCGAUGGGGCGACCCGCAGGCAAGUGACGGCGGCUUGGGACGGCGGCGAAGCUAUAACUUGGGCGGUGCCAUGGCUCCUUGUGUAGAGAAAACGAGAUGAGGGGGAGGUUAGGGAAGAGCAGCAGGAGGAGUGAAGGAAAAAAGGCGACAGAGAAGGGCCUGCACGCCGGAGAGCUCGACUGGCGACGACGCUCGCUGUAGCGGGAGUAUGCUCAGGCGUACCGGCAUGAGAGCCACAGUUGGCGGGAAUUGGCUGCGGGCAUAGGAACCGUGGAUUGAUCCCACGUACACACAGCCUUUUUAUUUCGAGAUCACACCUCACAGUCGUGGGCAUGAAGCAGAAGUUGCGUCACAUGCUCCACAUCCUAUCAGCGGACUUCCAAAUACUACAAGGAUGCGGAUUUGUUGAUGACGGCUACAGAUGUUUCCAAGUAAGGCGGUCGUGCCGUGAGGUGAUGCAUUGGCUCUGGUCCUUCUUUUUGGUAAGGGUGUGUUUGGUUGCUGGAAUGGCGUGGAACGUCACGGGUCCGACCCAUUGCCGAGCAUCGUUCUCGUGUUCAGUAGGGAGAUGGAACGGUCACCGCCUCGUUCCUAGGAACCGAAUAUUCGGCCCAGAUGCGGAACCAGGUGAUACCUCCAAAACGAGCGGACGACGCGGAACCGGCUCUCUUCUCGCACGCCCAGCCCUAUCGCCUCUCCUCGCUGCGCCGCCUCCCCCUCGUCUCUCUCUCUCCCUCGAUCUGCGCCGCCCCACCCCGCCCCGCCUUCCCCCGAUCCCUCGCCGCGGCUGACUCCUCCCCUCUUGAUAUGCAGCACAUGAGGGAAGUAGGCCGUCCUUUCUCUCGAUCUGGAGCUGUGUGACGGUAGUUUUGCAGAGGGGUUGCAGCGGGGCGGCGGUGUAGGCGUGCUUCCGGCAAGCUAACAACGGCGGUAGAGGCUCCUCUCCUCAAGAUUUUGUUGCUGCAACCUCUACAAUCUACCUCAUACAUUGGUCAAGCGUGCUGCUGCUGCUGCUCCAAGGCAGGAUGCCACACUGAAGCCAAAUGCACAAAUUAUCCCAAAGAAGGCAGCAUACAUUUGUUCAGAUCAAAUCAGCUCAGAGUUAGCCAAUACCAAAUCAGUGUUUUUCUUUACCUUUGGCGUCAUGUACACAGAAAAGAAAACGCCUACGAAGAUCCCGAUUGCCGAUGUGAAGUAUUGUGGUGUAUGUUUGUAUAUUCACAUGGAAAAUGAACUUGCUAUAUUAUGAUAUUGUUGUCGAAAA